GUGGGGGAUAUUGCACAAUGGGGGAAACCCUGAUGCAGCAACGCCGCGUGAAGGACGAAGGUCUUCGGAUCGUAAACUUUUGUCUUUGGGGAAGAAGAAAGUGACGGUACCCAAGGAGGAAGCCACGGCUAACUACGUGCCAGCAGCCGCGGUAAUACGUAGGUGGCAAGCGUUGUCCGGAUUUACUGGGUGUAAAGGGCGUGUAGGCGGGGAAGUAAGUCAGAUGUGAAAUACCGGAGCUUAACUCCGGGGCUGCAUUUGAAACUGCAUCUCUUGAGUGCCGGAGAGGAAAGCGGAAUUCCUAGUGUAGCGGUGAAAUGCGUAGAUAUUAGGAGGAACACCAGUGGCGAAGGCGGCUUUCUGGACGGUAACUGACGCUGAGGCGCGAAAGCGUGGGGAGCAAACAGGA
rnacentral:rRNA from 1 species